GCGGGGGGGGUCUAUCAUGCAAGUCGAGCGAAUGGAUUAAGAGCUUGCUCUUAUGAAGUUAGCGGCGGACGGGUGAGUAACACGUGGGUAACCUGCCCAUAAGACUGGGAUAACUCCGGGAAACCGGGGCUAAUACCGGAUAACAUUUUGAACCGCAUGGUUCGAAAUUGAAAGGCGGCUUCGGCUGUCACUUAUGGAUGGACCCGCGUCGCAUUAGCUAGUUGGUGAGGUAACGGCUCACCAAGGCAACGAUGCGUAGCCGACCUGAGAGGGUGAUCGGCCACACUGGGACUGAGACACGGCCCAGACUCCUACGGGAGGCAGCAGUAGGGAAUCUUCCGCAAUGGACGAAAGUCUGACGGAGCAACGCCGCGUGAGUGAUGAAGGCUUUCGGGUCGUAAAACUCUGUUGUUAGGGAAGAACAAGUGCUAGUUGAAUAAGCUGGCACCUUGACGGUACCUAACCAGAAAGCCACGGCUAACUACGUGCCAGCAGCCGCGGUAAUACGUAGGUGGCAAGCGUUAUCCGGAAUUAUUGGGCGUAAAGCGCGCGCAGGUGGUUUCUUAAGUCUGAUGUGAAAGCCCACGGCUCAACCGUGGAGGGUCAUUGGAAACUGGGAGACUUGAGUGCAGAAGAGGAAAGUGGAAUUCCAUGUGUAGCGGUGAAAUGCGUAGAGAUAUGGAGGAACACCAGUGGCGAAGGCGACUUUCUGGUCUGUAACUGACACUGAGGCGCGAAAGCGUGGGGAGCAAACAGGAUUAGAUACCCCUGGUACUCCACGCCGUAAACGAUGAGUGCUAAGUGUUAGAGGGUUUCCGCCCUUUAGUGCUGAAGUUAACGCAUUAAGCACUCCGCCUGGGGAGUACGGCCCGCAAGGCUGAAACUCAAGGAAUUUGACGGGGGCCCGCACAAGCGGUGGAGUCAUGUUGUUUUAAUUUCAAAGCAACGCGAAAGAACCCUUUACCAAGGUCUUGACAUCUCUGAAAAACUCUAGAGAUAGGGACUUUCUCCCUUCGGGAGCAAAAGUUGACAGUGUUGCAUGAUUGUCGUCAGCUCGUGUCCUGAAAUGUGGUAAGUCCGCUACGAGCGCAUCCUUGAAUCUAAGUUGCAUCAUUAAGAGUGCUCUAGAUGACUGCCGUGAACACAUCGUGAAGCAAUGGUUG
rnacentral:rRNA from 1 species